GCUCAACAAGCAUGUAACCAUCUCCGGUUCAAGAAUGAAGUUUAUUAAUAGAAUGACUCACUUAGGAUUUUUUCUAGAUCUUUGAAAAACGGCACCUAGGAACAAAAUAACCUUGACCUUGGUGCAAGAUGAUGCUGGUGUUAAUGGAAGACAUGAAAUUUUCUUGCAUCUCAGUAUGUCGCGUCUUAUACUACUUAGGUUCCUGCAAAAGGUACAAGUCUAGAAAGAGCCAAAAGAACAAAGGAUCGUUUUUACUGAUCAUUCCAUGUAAGCAUUUCUGCAAUAUUGAAAUCUUUGGAUUAA